ensembl:lncRNA
ACCCUCCACAUUUACUGGUUGUAUUAUGAAACAUCUGGGCUUAUGCCCUCUGUUCAUCUUAUUCUAACUGGAAGUGUGUAGGUUAUUAGCGAUAGAAAAGCCCAGUACUUUUUAAAUUCUAUUAAUCUCACUUCUGCAGUAAUGUAUUAUAUUCCAAAAUUAUUUCCUCUGGUCACCGUUACAUUUGGAUGUUUCUCUUUCAUUGAUUGUUUCCUUUUUAUUUCAAGAGCAGCAAAUAGUGAAUAGUCUUUGUAGUCCUGCAGCAAUUCAGUGGUUAGUGGUGUCUGCUUAGUGAAAGACUAGGAAUUAGGAAGCACAGAGGUACUGUCUUGAGUACCUUGUGCCAAAUUCAGUGCUGAGUUUGGAGAUACUGAGGAAACAAACAGCAUCUGUAUUUGCAGAGGAUAUCUUUUACAAGCAUUUGUCUGAAUACCUUUUGGCAUUUACAACAUUGCAGAGCAGCAAGUUGCAUAAUUUAAUUAAACACUAUGUAAAACAUAUUUCUUUCUAAUAACGGAGACAUUCUGCCCCGACUGUGGCAAAGGCCUUGGAAGACGCUCAGGGGGAAGAAAUCUCCAUGGAGAUUCAUGAAAGCUGUUCGUUAUUAUUAUUUUGCAGAGAUCUCUACCUCUAAACAAGCCCUAAGGCCCUUUCAGAAUAUCUGAAAGUCCUAGACCAUGAAACCUGCCUUUGAAAUGUGAAGAGCUCAAGCAUGAGUGGUGUCUUACCAUGCUGAAGGAGGUGAACUAUCUUCAUGUCUGCCUGCUGAGGGGCUUCACAGCCCUGCUACUGCACCCAAAAAUCUCCUGUGCAUUUUAAAUACCGCUUACCUUUAAAUCCAUCGUGUUUCAGGUUUUGGUUUCAAAGUAUCUUUACUUUAUAUCAUUAACCAAACACAGGAUUAUGAAUCAGUGUCCUUAUAGAACAGAGAGAAAUACAGAAACAAGGGGAGGGGAAAAUUCUGAAAUGUUUGGAUUUACUCCAUUCCAAUGCACACACCUCUUAUUUUCCGAAACGGAGUUCAGUUAGGACACAAUUUUUUGUCACUAUUUGCAAAGCCUGAACUCCCUCAUUUACUAAUUUCUAUAGCUGCAGAAUUAAUGAGAUUGAUCACAGCUAGCAUUUGAC